rnacentral:rRNA from 1 species
UACGUAGGGGGCAAGCGUUGUCCGGAUUUAUUGGGCGUAAAGAGCGUGUAGGCGGCCAUACAGGUCCGUUGUGAAAACUGGAGGCUUAACCUCCAGACGUCGAUGGAAACCGUAUGGCUAGAGUCCGGAAGAGGAGAGUGGAAUUCCUGGUGUAGCGGUGAAAUGCGCAGAUAUCAGGAAGAACACCCGUGGCGAAGGCGGAUCUCUGGGCCUUACCUGACGCUCAGGUGCGAAAGCUAGGGGAGCGAACAGG